rnacentral:rRNA from 1 species
GAUCCUGGCUCAGAUUGAACGCUGGCGGCAGGCCUAACACAUGCAAGUCGAACGGUAACAGAAAGCAGCUUGCUGCUUUGCUGACGAGUGGCGGACGGGUGAGUAAUGUCUGGGAAACUGCCCGAUGGAGGGGGAUAACUACUGGAAACGGUAGCUAAUACCGCAUAACGUCGCAAGACCAAAAGAGGGGGGACCUUCGGGUCCUCUUUGCCAUCGGAUGUGCCCAGAUGGGAUUAGCUAGUAGG